rnacentral:rRNA from 1 species
AUUGGCAGAAGAAGCUGCGGCGAGAAUGGGGCCAACCCAAUGGUGGUUUCAGUUUGGAGGGGAUGUUCCUGCAUUGCAGAAAUGUGCAAUGAGAAUUUGCUCACAAUGUGUCUCCUCUAGUGGGUGUGAGAGAAAUUGGAGCGCUUUUGCUUUGGUGCACACAAAGCAAAGAAGUCGUCUUCUAUAUGACAAGCUCCACAAGCUAGUUUCUGUACGCUACAACUUAAAGAUACGUGCUGAAGAAGAUCAAGAGAAAGAGAGAGAUAUAGAUAAAGAAAUUGAUCCAAGUGCAUUGCUAAUGGAUACCACAAUGUUUGAUGAAACAAACCCAAUAAUGGAGUGGCUGAAUGAGGAUGUAGAGGAUCCGAUUGUGGAUGGAGCUGAUGCAGCUAGUGCUGUUUUUGAGCAAAUAAGGCGCCUCAACUCAAGCAGGAAGGCGUCUUAUGUUGGUUCAAAGGGUAAUAACAAGAAAAGAAAGAGGAAUGAUGAUGAUGAGAAUGAGUUUCUUGAAACUGAGAGUGAGGAUGAUGAAGAAGAGAAUGAAUAUGUUGAUAAUGACAUCGAGGAUGAUGAUGGGGUGAGUGAGGAUGAUGAGGAUGGUGAACAAGAUCAGCUAGAGACACAAAUGCAACUUGAAGAAGAGACACAAGUACAAGUUCAAAAGGAGGCACCAACAAGCACUGGCCAUUUGGAGACUAGAUCUGGACGACUUAUUAGGAAGAAGACCAAGAACGUCAACAGCCUCUACUCGUAAAUUUGAAAUGGCACGUGAGCAAAGGAUAUCAAGAAGCUUUUGGAUGUUGGGAAGCUUGGAGCUGAUGCUUCAAAUAAGCUGAUGGUUGUCUUUUGGAGAUGUUUCUAUGUUUAAUGCUUUAAAGUCUUUUGGCUGUACUGGACUAUUUAAACUUUGAACUAUGCUGUGAUGGUUGAACUGAUGCUGGACGGUUAAGGGUUUAUG